AGAACGAACGCUGGCGGCAGGCUUAACACAUGCAAGUCGAACGGUUGUAGCAAUACAGCAGUGGCAGACGGGUGAGUAACACGUGGGAACCUUCCUAGGGGUACGGAACAACUCAGGGAAACUUGAGCUAAUACCGUAUACGUCCGUGAGGAGAAAGAUUUAUCGCCCCUAGACGGGCCCGCGUAGGAUUAGGUAGUUGGUGAGGUAACGGCUCACCAAGCCUACGAUCCUUAGCUGAUCUGAGAGGAUGAUCAGCCACACUGGGACUGAGACACGGCCCAGACUCCUACGGGAGGCAGCAGUGGGGAAUCUUGGACAAUGGGCGCGAACG
rnacentral:rRNA from 1 species